UGAGACCACAGCGCACCGGGCCCGGACAAACGCAGAGGGUGGGAGGAGGCUGAGCGCGCUCACAGUCCUGGGAGAGCAGCCGCUCUGAACAGUCUUGAACUUUGUUGUUACAGUCACGGGGGCCAGUCCUUGCCCCACGUCUAUUCCGAACUCCCGCCCAAAGCUGAUUUAGUGUCCUGUGGCUGAGGCCCCACUGAACCUGGGGACACAAGGCGCUGGAACCGUGUUGGUCCGUGCUUGAUGUGCUUAUACUCCCGAACCUACGAGGGGAUCUAGCAUCGAUGGGAACCACAAGGCUCAGGCCGCUAUUACUGGGUGUUUUGUUCAUCAGCAAUGACUCGAAGUCCACCAGGAACCCUACAGUGUUUGAACAAGCAGUACCACUCGGGAGGGACUCCAGCACCAGCUGGAGUGAUAAAGUUCCUAAGGCCAUAACAGAAGACUGGUAGACUCCAAGUCCCGCAUCUUUCACAGGCUGAGGAACUUGACAAGAGUCUCUUUCGGGUACUGAAAACUCCCAGGAGGCUGGUGCUAGAGCACCCAGUUCAGUUUUGUUGUGACUUCUGUCCUCCGGCUCACCGGGAGUUCCAGAAGGAGAGAAGAAGGUCCAACAACCCCGGAGGGCUCACGCUGGCCCAGGGGUGGGUGAGGCGGGAGCUCCUGAUAAGGGAAACACAGGCACUAACCUUGGAGUCAGUGUCCAGUGUUUCUGCUGCUCAGCGCGGGAUUAGUUAACUAGUCAGAAAGGAGUUGGAGCAUCGCCUGCACACUGGUGUCCACCUAACCUGCUCUCUUCAGUAUGCGGAGUCUAGUUCCCGGGCCGGUGAAGAAGUGUCUUCCAUAAUAUGCCAUCUGGACCAUCUUUAGAGCUUGGGAGCCAAGAUGGGAGAGGCCAGGGGGAGACGGAGAGCUGUUCUUGGUUGCUGUGUACUCAGAAGCUUCCCCUAGAGCUGCCCACAGCUCUGGGUGGACUGCAUGAUGCAGAACGCUGGGAAACAUGGCAUGCCAACACCCAGAGACUGAGGCCUGUGGCAGCUACAGAAUUCUCAGAGCAGGAUUGGCCAGAAUUUAGUUUUAUCUGUGAAGGAGCUGAGGAAGCUGCAGCCUUCUGAUCACCUCCCGCUCCCCUCCCCCGCUGAAGAAUUCCACAGAGAGGGGCUCAGGCUCCGGACUGAAGUUACACUGGACCAAGACAGAACUUCUGGGUGCUUUAAGGAGGCUCCAUGGUGUCUGUAGGGAGCCUCAUUGCUUUACUCCAUGUCUGUGUAGGAGGACGGCCCACCAACUCCUGUCCCUCAAGACCACAGUCCCCAGGGCCAGGAGCAGGAGUUUAUCGUAUUUUGGUUGUGUCUGCUUAGUGUACUGACUCCGGAAGUGUCAGAAGCCAUCAACCAACUCCUGUUGGUAGAGAUUUGGGAUGUGAACCCAAGGAAGUUAAAAGGUUUCAGAAGCGCCAAGUAGUCUAGAUAGAAGAAGGAUGAUUGAUUGGCUGGGGGACUGACGCCUGCCUUGAUUCUCAUUUUAACUGAGUGUGUGAGUGUAAGUGUGAGAGUGUGAGAAUGUGACUGAGAAUGCGUCUGUGUGUGUGUGUGAGAAAGAGUGUGUGUGUAAGAGUGUGUAUGUGACUGAGAAUGUGUGUGUGUGUGAGUGUGACUGAGAAUGUGUGUGUGUGUGAGAGUGUGAGUGUGUGACUGAGAAUGUGUGUGUGACAAAGUGUGUGUGAGUAUGUGACUGAGAAUGUGUGUGUGUGUGAGUGUGACUGAGAAUGUGUGUGUGUGUGAGUGUGUGAGUGUGUGACUGAGAAUGUGUGUGUGAGUGUGUGUGUGUGUGCAUUCAUGUGAGUCUGGGCAUAUAUGUGUGUGGGCAUGUGAAUGUAUAUGCACAAGCAGCUCAUGUAAAUGAGCAUGUAUGCUCAUGAGGGAAUGUCUGUGUUUAUGCACACAUGACUAUGAUAUCUAUGCAUAUAUUAUAUGUGUAUAUAUGUAUAUAUAUUUCUUUUACAAUAAACAGUGUGUGAAUACCUUGGUAAGAGAGAUGAG